UAGAGUUUGAUCCUGGCUCAGGAUGAACGCUAGCGACAGGCUUAACACAUGCAAGUCGAGGGGCAACGGGACGUAGCAAUACGUUGCCGGCGACCGGCGGAUGGGUGAGUAACGCGUAUGCAACCUGCCCACGACAGGGGGAUAGCCCGUUGAAAGACGGAUUAAUACCCCAUAAAACAGGGGUUCCGCAUGGGACUAUUUGUUAAAGGGUUUUCCGCGAGGGGAACUACGGUUGUGGAUGGGCAUGCGUUCCAUUAGGCAGUUGGUGAGGUAACGGCUCACCAAACCGACGAUGGAUAGGGGAACCGAGAGGUUGGUCCCCCACACUGGUACUGAGAUACGGACCAGACUCCUACGGGAGGCAGCAGUGAGGAAUUUUGGUCAAUGGACGGAAGUCUGAACCAGCCAAGUCGCGUGAAGGAAGGCGGCCCUAAGGGUUGUAAACUUCUUUUGUAAGGGAAUAAAUAGUCUUACGAGCUAAGACGUUGCAGGUACCUUACGAAUAAGGAUCGGCUAACUCCGUGCCAGCCGCCGCGGUAAUACA
rnacentral:rRNA from 1 species